rnacentral:rRNA from 1 species
CGGUUAAAAAGCUCGUAGUUGCAUUUCUGUCUCCUGCGCUCGGUCCGAUCUACGAUCGCGUAUCUGAGACGCGCGAGGCAUCCGGAAGUUUAAGGCGCGUUGCUUCAUUGCAAUGUCCGUAGGCUUCUCUUUUACUUUGAGGAAAUUAGAGUGUUCACGGCAGGCAAUCGCCCUGAAUACAUUAGCAUGGAAUAAUAAUAUAGGACCUCGGUUCUAUUUUGUUGGUUUCUAGAGCUGAGGUAAUGAUUAAUAGGGAUAAUUGGGGGCAUUCGUAUUAUCACGUCAGAGGUGGAAUUCUUGGAUUGUGUUACGACGAACUACUGCGAAAGCAUUUGCCAAGGAUGUUUUCAUUGAUCAAGAACGAAAGUAAGGGGAUCGAAGACGCUUAGAUACCGUCGUAGUCUUUACCAUAAACUAUGCCGACUAAGGAUCGGGCCACGUUUUUCUUUCGACAGGCUCGGCACUUUAUGAGAAAUCAAAGUCUUUGGGUUCCGGGGGGAGUAUGGUCGCAAGGCUGAAACUUAAAGGAAUUGACGGAAGGGCACCACCAGGAGUGGAGCCUGCGGCUUAAUUUGACUCAACACGGGAAAACUCACCAGGUCCGGACAUAGUAAGGAUUGACAGAUUGAUAGCUCUU